AUGCAAACAGUGCCAAUAGCCAGAGCCUUCUUUAGAGGAAACAAAACAGCCUUGUUCUGUUCCACUUCUAUUGAUACUUCUUAAUUUAAUCUUUUUGCCUCCUUUUGAGUAGGCUUUGGUGAUACAAUUCUUCCAAAGUGUAACUGAGGACAGUUUGCCUUUUUUACCCUUCUUUUUACAAAGCCUCUGAAGGCCUCAAACGAGAAGAAAAAACUUUACAAAACUCAUGCAGGUAUGUUAUUAACAGGUAGCUGAAGGAUAAAACAGCCUUCUCAGAAAACCCCAGGCUAUCUUUUAACAGCGUGCCUGCACUGUGUUGUGGCUUGACAUACUGCUUCCAUGGUGUGACCUGCUAUAAAUGGUGUUUGUUACAAUUAGGUCUUUUUAGUUUGUCCUAAAAGAUUUUACUUGUUUGUCAUCAUAUUAGAAACAUAAUGUACACUCUAUAAGAAAAGCAAUAUACAAUAUACUAUACAUCUUCUAUUUCAAUGCCUCUAGUUUUAGGCUAGUAUUCAUAUAAAUGUUUAUAAUCAAAAUACAGGUUUUCUUGUUCUUCACAGGACCAAGCAAAGUUUUGCCUUGUCUAAAUACUAACAGUAACAUUUCUAUUCAACAAAUACUCUUUUCUCAUGCUUCUAGUUUACUUGUGGUGGGCUCCAUCCUAUUGAUUCCCCAUUAAUGCAUUUGAAAGGGAAAAGUGAUGAGCUAUUUCAGUGCAUGACCUUUGCACAGUACCUGAUUCAUAAAGAUAAAUAGAUCCAAAAUUUCAUUUAUGAGUUACUAGUGACCAGCAAAAGAACAAAAAUCCUUUGAUGUUUGGCUGAGGAAAUUCUUAAGUCCUUGCAUUGCUAACACAGUUUUGCAGUUUUUUGAGUCAUUAUAAUGGAUGUAUUUGAUGAAGCCUUUGCCAUAGACACUGGCAUCUUCAUAGAAGUUGUUCCAAUUUCUGCUUCCAGUUAUAAGUGGGAGUGUACUGUAGUGGAAAAAUUAUUUGGAUUAAAAAACCCCCAAAAAUUCAAGUUUUCUUUAGGACAGUUCUCACUUUAUUUGACCUCAUCCUCUGGUAGGUAGCUCACUUUAAUUCUUGUCAUAAUAGUCGUACAAUAUCCAUAAAAAGUGUUUCUCCAGAGAAACUUCAAUCAAAAAUAUUUUGAUCCUGAUUGUGACUGGGAUGCCUCUAUUUCAGAGCUAAGUCACUGAAGAGGUGAUCAAAGAAGACAGAAUAUUAGGACAAACCAAAAAAAAAUUUGUGUAUAUGGUUAAAAAGGUGAUAUGAUGGGGAAGUUAUUGAAUUGGUUUUUUCCUCAUUAAAAUUUGCUGAUUGCAUAACAACUGCUCAUAAAAUAUUUUUUUUUCCUUUACUGUCUUUCUUUUGAAGCCAAAAG